GACGAACCGUGCAAACGUUAUUCGGAAUCACUGGGCUUAAAGGGCGCGUAGGCGGGCAACCAAGUCCGAGGUGAAAUCCUCCAGCUUAACUGGAGAAGUGCCCCGGAUACUGGUGGCCUCGAGGAGGGUAGGGGCAUCUGGAACUAGCGGUGGAGCGGUGAAAUGCGUUGAUAUCGCUAGGAACUCCGGUGGCGAAGGCGAGGUGCUGGACCCUUUCUGACGCUGAGGCGCGAAGGCCAGGGGAGCGAACGGG
rnacentral:rRNA from 1 species